UAGGGUUCGAUUAUGGCUCAGGACGAACGCUGGCGGCGGGCCUAAUACAUGCAAGUCGAACGCACUCGACCUUCGGGUCACAUGAGUGAGUGGCGAACGGGUGAGUAACACGUGAGAAACCUGCCCUGAAGACCGGAAUAACCCGAGGAAACUCGAGCUAAUGCCGGAUAUCCCCAUCUGGUCGCAUGGCCUAAUGAGGAAAUGUUCAGGCGCUUCAGGAGGGUCUCACGGCCUAUCAGCUAGUUGGUGAGGUAACGGCUCACCAAGGCAUCGACGGGUAGCUGGUCUGAGAGGACGAUCAGCCACACUGGGACUGAGACACGGCCCAGACUCCUACGGGAGGCAGCAGUAGGGAAUCUUGCGCAAUGGGCGAAAGCCUGACGCAGCCACGCCGCGUGAGGGAUGAAGGCUCUCGGGUUGUAAACCUCUUUCAGCAGGGACGAAAAUGACGGUACCUGCAGAAGGAGCUCCGGCCAACUACGUGCCAGCAGCCGCGGUAAUACA
rnacentral:rRNA from 1 species